GGGGAUUUAGCUCAGUGGUAGAGCGCUUGCCUAGGAAGCGCAAGACCCUGGGUUUGAUCCCUAGCUCCG
rfam:Rattus norvegicus chromosome 1, whole genome shotgun sequence.